rnacentral:rRNA from 1 species
AGUGGCGGACGGGUGAGUAACGCGUGAGAAUCUGCCUUGGGGUCGGGGACAACCACUGGAAACGGUGGCUAAUACCGGAUAAGCCGAUUGGUGAAAGAUUUAUUGCCCGAAGAGGAGCUCGCGUCUGAUUAGCUAGUUGGUGAGGUAAGAGCUCACCAAGGCAGCGAUCAGUAGCUGGUCUGAGAGGACGAUCAGCCACACUGGGACUGAGACACGGCCCAGACUCCUACGGGAGGCAGCAGUGGGGAAUUUUCCGCAAUGGGCGAAAGCCUGACGGAGCAAGACCGCGUGAGGGAGGAAGGCUCUUGGGUUGUAAACCUCUUUUCUCAGGGAAGAAGCUCUGACGGUACCUGAGGAAUCAGCCUCGGCUAACUCCGUGCCAGCAGCCGCGGUAAUACGGAGGAGGCAGGCGUUAUCCGGAAUUAUUGGGCGUAAAGCGUCCGCAGGUGGCGAUUCAAGUCUGCUGUCAAAGCACGGGGCUUAACUCCGUAAAGGCAGUGGAAACUGAAUAGCUAGAGUGCCGUAGGGGUAGAGGGAAUUCCCGGUGUAGCGGUGAAAUGCGUAGAGAUCGGGAAGAACAUCGGUGGCGAAAGCGCUCUACUGGACGGCAACUGACACUCAGGGACGAAAGCUAGGGGAGCGAAUGGGAUUAGAUACCCC